CUGCUUACCAUGCAGUCGAGCGAUGAAAUCCCUUCGGGGAUGGAUUAGCGGCGGACGGGUGAGUAACACGUGGGUAACCUGCCUCAAAGAGGGGGAUAGCCUCCCGAAAGGGAGAUUAAUACCGCAUAACAUUAGUUUUUCGCAUGGGAAACUAAUUAAAGGAGUAAUCUGCUUUGAGAUGGACCCGCGGCGCAUUAGCUAGUUGGUGAGGUAACGGCUCACCAAGGCGACGAUGCGUAGCCGACCUGAGAGGUUGAACGGCCACAUUGGGACUGAGACACGGCCCAGACUCCUACGGGAGGCAGCAGUGGGGGAUAUUGCACAAUGGAGGAAACUCUGAUGCAGCAACGCCGCGUGAGGGAAGACGGUCUUCGGAUUGUAAACCUUUGUCCUCGGUGACGAUAAUGACGGUAGCCGAGGAGGAAGCUCCGGCUAACUACGUGCCAGCAGCCGCGGUAAUACGUAGGGAGCAAGCGUUGUCCGGAUUUACUGGGUGUAAAGGGUGCGUAGGCGGCUCUGCAAGUCAGGUGUGAAAACUAUCGGCUUAACUGAUAGACUGCAUUUGAAACUGUGGGGCUUGAGUGGAGUAGAGGCAGACGGAAUUCCCGGUGUAGCGGUGAAAUGCGUAGAGAUCGGGAGGAACACCAGUGGCGAAGGCGGUCUGCUGGGCUUUAACUGACGCUGAGGCACGAAAGCAUGGGUAGCAAACAGGAUUAGAUACCCUGGUAGUCCAUGCUGUAAACGAUGAU
rnacentral:rRNA from 1 species